GAUGAACGCUAGCGAUAGGCCUAACACAUGCAAGUCGAGGGGCAUCACGUCUUCGGAUGGUGGCGACCGGCGCACGGGUGAGUAACACGUAUGCAACCUGCCUUUAACAGGGGGAUAGCCCUAAGAAAUUGGGAUUAAUACCGCAUAAAACAGGGAUACCGCAUGGUAUUAUUAGUUAAAGAUUUAUCGGUUAAAGAUGGGCAUGCGCUGGAUUAGAUAGUUGGUAAGGUAACGGCUUACCAAGUCGGCGAUCCAUAGGGGAACUGAGAGGUUAGUCCCCCACACUGGUACUGAGACAGGGACCAGACUCCUACGGGAGGCAGCAGUGAGGAAUAUUGGUCAAUGGUCGAGAGACUGAACCAGCCAAAUCGCGUGAAGGAAGACGGUAUUAUGUAUUGUAAACUUCUUUUGAGAGGGAAUAAAGUGCGGGACGUGU
rnacentral:rRNA from 1 species